UACGUAGGGUGCGAGCGUUAAUCGGAAUUACUGGGCGUAAAGCGUGCGCAGGCGGUGAGCUGUGUCCGAUGUGAAAGCCCCGGGCUUAACCUGGGAAUGGCAUUGGAAACUGGCUCGCUGGAGUGUGGCAGAGGGGGUGGAAUUCCGCGUGUAGCAGUGAAAUGCGUAGAGAUGCGGAGGAACACCGAUGGCGAAGGCAGCCCCCCUGGGCUAACACUGACGCUCAGGCACGAAAGCGUGGGGAGCAAACAGG
rnacentral:rRNA from 1 species